UAAUUAUAUAAAAGAUUUCUCAAAAUCUUGAAGUCUAUUCAAACAUUGAGGCUAAGGGAUUAUGUAUCACAGGAGUAAUGAGAACUCUAGAAAAAUAACUUGACAACAAAAAGUCCUUAUAGUUAUAUAUUAAAUAUCAAGAAAAUCAAUGGGAAAUCUUUGUUAUUUGUGAUUAAAAAACAUACAUGGUUAAUUUUCAUGUUACUGUAGAGCUUUGCCUCAACAUGACCAGUCGCCAUGUGAGUUAUUUUGUUUUGCAACCUGGAUAUUAAACAUUCCAGAGUCUUCAGCUUUCUUAUCAGCACAGAAAAGGCAAUUUAUAGCACAGUACCUUUAUAAGCAAAGACAUUUUAUGUAAGUAAUUUGCUACAGAAUUCUCUCUCAAAGCUGAUUUGAUUCUUAAAGAGAAUUCUUCAUUGUAAAUUCUUGAUUCUACAAGUAUGAAAAAAAAAUCAGGCUAUUAUCACUCUUGAAGACAGACCUUCUAUUUCUAAUUUCAUAUUUUCCUUCCCAAAGUGGGGUUUAUAUUAUUCUAUUUCCACUAUUUUGACAUGACUUUAGGACAUUAAUGGGUUGGGCAAGGCCACCAGGAUUUUAUUUGUCAGAGAUUGUGCUGUUUUUGCAGAAUUGUUCAAAAGGACACUGAAAUGGGUUACAUCUCUAACAGGGUGAAGGAGACCCUAGUAUAGAAGAAUUAAUGGGAUCCCAGAAAAAAAGAGAGCUUAGGUCCCACAGAAGGGCUAUAAUCAAUCCCUACGAAAAUCUAGUACUCCCAGAUUCCUGAGCCUUUAGGCCUCAGCAAAGUGGAUGGAAUGCAAAACCUAGUCCUCAUACUAUGGCUCAGAGAAAUGAAAGAAACUGGCAUUAGAGAAGAUGGGAAGAGUGACAAAGUACAAAUGUAAAGAAAGAGAGAAAGAGCAUGAAAGAUCUAUUGCUGGCCAGGUGUGG
rnacentral:lncRNA from 1 species